AUGUUCCCCAUGUUCCACGAGCUUGCACCAAACAACCCAGAUGACAAGUGUGGUCACCACUACGCAAUUUGCCUUGACCUGAAGAACCAACGAUUUGAGGUGUUCGAUUCAAUGCGUUCAGAAGCUGAUGAAGACCUUACUACACAUGCUAAAUUCUUUACCAACAACUUGAAAGAGACAUGGAACCAUCACUACGAAAACUCAAGGGUCCAGAUCAGUCAUUUUCCAAUCGAGUAUGUCGCGACUACGAAGCAAGGAAACAGGCAUGACUGUGGCUUUCACACGUUGGAAUACCUUGCAAAGUGGGAAGGUCGACGGGUCCCUGUCGUUAGAGCUGCAAUGGUUGUCGAGCUCCGUAAAAUAUACACAUGGAACUGGUUGAUGAAUGAAGAUUUCAACACGCGGGCAAACACACGAAAGUUCAUAUAG
rnacentral:rRNA from 1 species